rnacentral:tRNA from 1 species
GCAGGAAUGGCGGAACUGGUAGACGCGCAGGCUUCAGGUGCCUGUGGUGGCAACAUCGUGAGGGUUCGAUUCCCUUUUCCUGCA